AGAAUCAACGCUGGCGGCGUGCCUAACACAUGCAAGUCGAACGAGAAAGUCCGCAAGGACAAGUAAAGUGGCGACCGGGUGAGUAACACGUGACUAACCUACCUUUUAGUGGGGGAUAACUCCGGGAAACCGGGGCUAAUACCGCAUAACAUCGCAAGAUCAAAGCAGCAAUGCGCUGGAAGAGGGGGUCGCGGCUGAUUAGCUAGUUGGCGGGGUAAUGGCCCACCAAGGCGAAGAUCGGUAUCCGGCCUGAGAGGGCGCACGGACACACUGGAACUGAAACACGGUCCAGACUCCUACGGGAGGCAGCAGUGGGAAUUUGCGCAUGGGGGAAACCCUGACGCAGCAACGCCGCGUGGAGGAUGAAGUCCCUUGGGACGUAAACUCCUUUCGACCAAGACGAUAAUGACGGUACUGGUGGAAGAAGCACCGGCUAACUCUGUGCCAGCAGCCGC
rnacentral:rRNA from 1 species